UACGUAGGGUGCGAGCGUUGUCCGGAUUUAUUGGGCGUAAAGGGCUCGUAGGCGGCGUGUCGCGUCGGGAGUGAAAGCCCGCGGCUUAACCGCGGGUCUGCUUCCGGUACGGGCAUGCUGGAGUGUGGCAGGGGAGACUGGAAUUCCUGGUGUAGCGGUGGAAUGCGCAGAUAUCAGGAGGAACACCGGUGGCGAAGGCGGGUCUCUGGGCCAUUACUGACGCUGAGGAGCGAAAGCGUGGGGAGCGAACAGG
rnacentral:rRNA from 1 species